rnacentral:lncRNA from 1 species
CAUGCCAAGAAAACAUGAAACUUUUCCCUCAGUUUUUUGGGGUGCUGACACACAAAACACAUGUGUGUCUAGGUCACUGCAUGUUGCUUUGUUGAGUACAAUCAUUCUGUCAGGGUCAAGUACAUAAUUAGAGUUCGGUUGUGUAAUAUAGUCUAUAUUUUUACUCGUGAUAGCCACAUCAUAUGGUUCACUGUCUACGUCAAGGCUCUGUAAAUAAUUUCCCAGGGGAUCAAUUAAUAUGAGUUUCUUUUAAACACUGUCACAUAAUAAAAUGUUUCCCUUUAUUGUAG